rnacentral:rRNA from 1 species
GCAUAUCAAUAAGCGGAGGAAAAGAAACCAACAGGGAUUGCCUCAGUAACGGCGAGUGAAGCGGCAACAGCUCAAAUUUGAAAUCUGGCUCUUUCAGGGUCCGAGUUGUAAUUUGUAGAGGAUGUUUCGGGUGUGGCUCCGGUCUAAGUUCCUUGGAACAGGACGUCAUAGAGGGUGAGAAUCCCGUAUGUGACUGGUAGCCUAUGCUCAUGUGAAACUCCUUCGACGAGUCGAGUUGUUUGGGAAUGCAGCUCAAAAUGGGUGGUAAAUUUCAUCUAAAGCUAAAUAUUGGCCAGAGACCGAUAGCGCACAAGUAGAGUGAUCGAAAGAUGAAAAGCACUUUGGAAAGAGAGUUAAACAGUACGUGAAAUUGUUGAAAGGGAAGCGCUUGCAACCAGACUUGCAUGUAGCUGAUCAACCGGUGUUCUCACCGGUGCACUCAGUUGCGUUCAGGCCAGCAUCGGUUUCGACGGUUGGAUAAAGGCCUUGGGAAUGUAGCUUCUUUCGGGGAGUGUUAUAGCCCAGGGUGCAAUGCAGCCUGUCGGGACCGAGGACCGCGCUUCGGCUAGGAUGCUGGCGUAAUGGUUGUAAGCGACCCGUCUUGAAACACGGACCAAGGAGUCUAACAUCUAUGCGAGUGUUUGGGUGUCAAACCCAUACGCGUAAUGAAAGUGAACGGAGGUGAGAACCCUUAAGGGUGCAUCAUCGACCGAUCCUGAUGUCUUCGGAUGGAUUUGAGUAAGAGCAUAGCUGUUGGGACCCGAAAGAUGGUGAACUAUGCCUGAAUAGGGUGAAGCCAGAGGAAACUCUGGUGGAGGCUCGCAGCGGUUCUGACGUGCAAAUCGAUCGUCAAAUUUGGGUAUAGGGGCGAAAGACUAAUCGAACCAUCUAGUAGCUGGUUCCUGCCGAAGUU